rnacentral:rRNA from 1 species
UACGUAGGGGGCUAGCGUUGUCCGGAAUCAUUGGGCGUAAAGCGCGUGUAGGCGGUUCGGUAAGUCCGCUGUGAAAGUCGGGGGCUCAACCCUCGAAUGUCGGUGGAUACUGUCGGACUAGAGUACGGAAGAGGCGAGUGGAAUUCCUGGUGUAGCGGUGAAAUGCGCAGAUAUCAGGAGGACCGCCGGUGGCGAAGGCGGCAUUCUGGACCACAACUGACACUGAGAGACGAAGGCCAGGGGAGCAAACGGG